CACGUAGGGACCAAGCGUUGUCCGGAUUUAUUGGGCGUAAAGGGCUCGUAGGCGGUCUGUCGCGUCGGGAGUGAAAACUCAGGGCUUAACCCUGAGCCUGCUUCCGAUACGGGCAGACUAGAGGUAUGCAGGGGAGAAUGGAAUUCCUGGUGUAGCGGUGAAAUGCGCAGAUAUCAGGAGGAACACCAGUGGCGAAGGCGGUUCUCUGGGCAUUACCUGACGCUGAGGAGCGAAAGUGUGGGGAGCGAACAGG
rnacentral:rRNA from 1 species